rnacentral:rRNA from 1 species
UAGAGUUUGAUCCUGGCUCAGAUUGAACGCUGGCGGUAUGCUUAACACAUGCAAGUCGAACGGAAACGAUACUAGCUUGCUAGUAGGCGUCGAGUGGCGGACGGGUGAGUAACGCGUAGGAAUCUACCAGAUAGUGGGGGAUAGCCCGGAGAAAUUCGGAUUAAUACCGCAUAAUCUCUACGGAGUAAAGGAGGCCUCUAUUUAUAUGCUUUCGCUAUCUGAUGAGCCUGCGUAAGAUUAGCUAGUUGGUGAGGUAAAAGCUCACCAAGGCAACGAUCUUUAGCUGGUCUGAGAGGAUGAUCAGCCACACUGGGACUGAGACACGGCCCAGACUCCUACGGGAGGCAGCAGUGGGGAAUAUUGGACAAUGGGGGCAACCCUGAUCCAGCAAUACCGCGUGUGUGAAGAAGGCCUGAGGGUUGUAAAGCACUUUCAAUUGUGAA